rnacentral:snRNA from 1 species
AUCGCUUCUUGGCCUUUUGGCUAAGAGCAAGUGUAAAAUCUAUGUGAUACCAAUCAAUAUACAUGUAACUUCUAAACAAUAUGUUUUCUUUUUCCUAGGACAGUCAAAACUCAUUCAAUUUACUAUGAGUUUACUACGUAUCUGGCACUACUCCAGCUAAUGUGUAUGCAU